GGCAUACGUGUGUGAGCUGUGAGUAUCAUCAUGCAGAAAACGGAAGGAAACAAAUGGCAGGUCCGGAGGAAGCGGGUGACACUUUCUAAGAGGUGCAGAGACUCCUACGGAGAACAAAGCUGAUCGACGUGGAAGCUGUCUGGACUGGGUUAUCUCUGCAUCCCUCUUGGUGUAAUGCUGUUGUCAGCAAGCACAAGCUGAAACAGCGCGCAAAUUGUUUUAAUUUGCACUGGGGACUGUGUUUGGCUCUGUGAAAAGGAUGCAUCUUUGAACACGCCCUGCCUCUACUGAGCUGAGUGCUCCUCGUUUACAGCUCUACAAUACAAGUAUAUACUUGGUCAACAGGAUCAGAGCUGGGCCUAAAAGGAUGGAAGGGAGGAAUUUACAGUCACUCUUCCCGCUAAGAGCUGUGCUACACCUAUCAUGAGUAUGAUAAUCCAAUCCUAAUAUGAUGCCAAGAUCAGAUCACUGUGCAGAAACAGCUAGAAAGUGUGGUUUUGGCCAGCGAAGCUGCUCUGACUGUCCGGACAAACUCGGUGCUGUUGGAGAAUGCUGGCCUACAAGUAGUGACAGAUCUCCUCCUGUUGUGCUGCGCUAUUUGCCAAGGCAGGCAGAGCCCCUGAGACUCUCUAGGAGCCCUUUGGUUUCCAGGGGUGGCAGAGAACUGAAUGUCCCUCAAGGCAUCGGAAAUAGCGUGGCUCAAGACGUUGCAGGCCCAGGCCGUCUCCGUACAGCAAAGCACUGUCCCUCCCUUAGACCUGCCUGCCGCCGUUCUUCCAAAACGCAAUCUUUGCUGAGCGUGCUCUUCCCGGGUUGGAAGCUAUGGGCUUGGCCGUGCCUGAGAACCUGAGCAGACCCCAGACGAGCAUGCUAAAGGGCUCCUCACGAUCCUCAGUUUGCUGUCUGCAGAAGGGCUCGCCCCGGGCUGUGUUGGGGUACUUAAUUCACUUUUCGUCUUGUGCGUGAAAACGGCUCCAAGAGAUUCUCCUCCUGCGGCAAGAGAUCUGGAAAGGUCUGAAAGUUUUCAGAGACUCAGCAGUGAAGGUCAUAAGAGGGACUGGAGUUUUGGCCCAUGCAUCUGCUCACUGAAACUCGGUCAUCUCAUAUCGAGGACAACAAACCAGCACCAGUCUGCAAGAGCACGAAGAGGGCAUAUAUUUUGAAAACAAACGGAUGACAGAUGUGAAGGCUAGAAAGCACCACCGUGAGCCCCUGCUUGGAGCGUCUUCCUGAAGCCUUCUCACGUUUGCCGUUACGGGGACGCUCCUCAACGUUGCUGGCGUUCCCAGCAGCUCCGCACAGCCUCCUCAGCAUGUAUGUCCAGAGCUAUGGGGGACAUGUUAUUUCUGCUUCUCACAUGAGGGUGUUUGUGUCAGCCUGCUUCAUUUAGAACAAACAGGGUGGAGAGAGCUUUUGAGGGAAUUGGGAGUUCCCCUGAUGCCUUUGACCAAGCUGCUUCGUGCUUGGGCAGAGGAGGAGGAGGAGGAGGAUGUCUGAGGCUGGGGGAAAAGAGGAAGGGCAACUGCAGGUGCCAGAAGUAACUGGAAAGCCGUAGGAGACACUUGGAGUCAACAUGCAGCUAUUAAAGAGAAAAAAUAGAAUUAGAUGAGAACCAUGGGGGGAAAGCUAUGUUUCUUCUGAACCACUGGUAACAAAGAGUUCAGACCAUGGUUAAAAAUAAAUACAUAAAUAAAUUAAGCUGCA
rnacentral:lncRNA from 1 species